AACUAACGCUGGCGGCGUGCCUAACACAUGCAAGUCGUACGAGAAAGCCGGCUUCGGCUGGUGAGUAAAGUGGCGCACGGGUGAGUAACGCGUGGAUAAUCUGCCCUUAAGUGUGGAAUAACGUACCGAAAGGUGCGCUAAUACCGCAUAAUGCCUGGCAACACAAGUUGUCCGGCCAAAGAAGGCCUCUGUUUACAAGCUUUCGCUUCAGGAUGAGUCCGCGUACCAUUAGCUUGUUGGUGGGGUAAUGGCCUACCAAGGCUGCGAUGGUUAGCUGGUCUGAGAGGAUGAUCAGCCACACUGGAACUGAGACACGGUCCAGACUCCUACGGGAGGCAGCAGUGGGGAAUAUUGCGCAAUGGGGGCAACCCUGACGCAGCAACGCCGCGUGAGUGAGGAAGGUUUUCGGGCUGUAAAGCUCUGUCGAGCGGGAAGAAGUGUACCAUGGCUAAUAUCCAUGAUAUUUGACGGUACCGCUAGAGGAAGCACC
rnacentral:rRNA from 1 species